GCUGGCACCAACCCUAGCUACUUUCCCCUUUGCAAUUCCUCUGAAAUCACAUCCUAAUUGAAACAUAUUCAUGUGUUUCUCGUAAUAGAUGCUUACAAUUCUCGACAGUACUGGCUAGGUCCUGUCACACACCGAGCCGAACCGAUACGAGCUGGGUAAAAUCCCACCCACCGCCCAGCUCCCACUAGCGAAUGGCCUCCGCCCCUGCUUUCAGCGCGCCGCCGCCGGCCUACCGCCACACGCGCCGCCGCCGGCCUCCCGCAAGACUCGCCGCCGCCGGCCCCCGCUUCCACCCGCCAUCAGCCACCUUAAAGGGCCACCCAGUCACCUUCACCGCCGCCACAAGCGACGCGCCUCCUCCCAUGGAUGCGGUCGCCGCCCUGCGCCUCCUGCUGGCGACGAGCCCAGUUCUCCUUCCUUCUUCCAGCGACGCGCCGUUCAACGCCACCACCACUGCCAGUUCAACGCUGCCCCGACAAAUCCUGUGCGUCAACCCCCUGGCUGACUUUGCUUCUCUCAACUUCAAAAAGAGGUUCCGUUCAGAAGCUUGAACAAGAAAAAGAGGUUCAUUCAGAACUUGCGUGUGGUGUCUGUACUGCUGCUAACCUUGUUUUGCUUCUUUACAAAGCCUCUAGGAAUAUUAGUACUGAAUUGUUUAUGUCAGUUCCAGCCGGCAAGUGGCCCUGCACAACAACAUGCAGCAGUUCGACAGGGGAGUGUGGGUCAGUACCACGCCGACAAGUCAGGCAGACGUCCUUUGCAUCACGAACUAGUGCAGUUCGAUCUUGCGCAAGCGGGAAAUUCCCUGAUGCCGGGUGUGUCAGUACCACCCUACACAGCAGCAAUCAUUGUCUUCUUGCAGCUUCCAUUGAACAAUUAAUCCAAGGAAUUUUGGGUGGAGCAACAUUUGUCGGUCUUAGGAAUCUCGAUCAUUAUUCACCACCAGCCAUGGUGAUGGUCAUUGCUGCUCUUUCCAUCGCAUGGGAGCCGGUUGUUGCUGCCCUUCAAUAUCUCUAUAUCUGAACUAUUGUUGCUUGCUAUCUCACCCCUCUCAAAACUUUUUGAUGGUUCGUGUACAGAGAAAUACCUUUUUUGUGUUUCUUUUUUAAGUCAUUAUAUGCUCUCGAAAUGUUUAUGUUUAUGCCUCAAAAGAGAGAGAGAGAGAGAGAGAGAGAGAGAGAGAGAGAGAGAGAGAGAAAACCAGUACGUGUGUCUCACUCUGUUACAUAACAUUUUAAUUAUCUUUGCCACAAAGCUUCAUUUAUCCAGAGAAGUUCAAAGUAAAGAUUAGUUCACACUUUAGGUUUUUCUCCUUUGGUCUAUUUGUUCAGUUCUGAAUCCUUCGGUUUUGGUUGCAGAGAAAGUUCAAAGUUCAUGCUCCUUUGUUUUUUGUUAAGUCAGGCAGAGUCAGGUCUUGCUCGGGCAUCAUCUCGUCUCGUCCGUUCAGCAAAUGCCUCCAGAUAAGUUUACACUUGUGGUUAUUCUCGUUGGUUUAAUUCUUCAGUCCACACUCCUUGGGUUUUUGUUCUAGAGAAGUUAAAGAAAACCUGUAGAAGUUUGUGGUAAGUUAUGUUUCAUUUGAAGCAGGAACAUCAACUGCCACACCGUUGGUGUUUUGUAUAAUUCGUACCAAUUGAUUCAUAUGUUUGAUUCUAACCCUUUAAAUUUUACUGGACUACGCAGCCCAAGGACAUGGUGUUGAAGCUGUCGGGCGUGCAGAGGCAGGCGGUGCUGAAGCACGGGGGCUUGUUGCUGCCAAGGGGCCGAACGACGCCCCUGUACUAGAGCAGGUAGUACUGCCUGGGCAUGUCCACCUGCGACGUACCUGGCCACGGUGGCGGCACAACGGUGUCGAGCACGAGCUGCACGCAGCGCUUGCCCAUGCAACCCGCCGCCUGCUAGCCCCGCAUCCUGCCGGCGGUCGUCUCCACAUCAGUUCGAUUUGGGCACUUGGGGCAGCGGCUUAAAAGUUGACUGAUGCCAUGAUUUGGCAUUUGCUCUAUGAAUAGUGAAAUAGUGUUGUGUAUUCUUAUCAGUUCAUGAUUGCCAUCAUGAUACUUGUAUUGGGGGCUAGAGCUCAUGUAUUACUCCCAGGUUUAAUUUUGUUGGUGUAUGAAUUUUCCACGGCAAUCUAGCAGAAAAAUGAGUGAAGGGGCAUGUGUUUCUGAAAAAAAUGUGUAUGUUCAAAAUGGGAGGCACGGUACAUAGGGAUGUUGUCCAUCAUCAUUGAUUGAUUAAGUCACAUGCGCGCGCGCACACACACAUAUUGACUGAACUACCCUGACAUCGAUGAUAGAGCCUUUUUCUAAUUCCCUCCUACACGACGACAGUACAAUGAUAGAAUAAAAAUCAGUUCAAAAUAUAUAUGCUGGAGGUGUUUGCUUAAAUGCUUCAGUCCAACAAAAAGCUCCAGAAAAGUUCAUAGUUUGUUUUCAGAAAAGCUCCAUGGCAUUUCCUCGGCUGCAGCAUGUACAUGCAUCCCUACAAAAAAAAUGAGCCAAAUCCCGGUGUGCCCAGCCGCUGCUCGUGAACCCCGCCUCCAUCAGCCCCACUUCAACGGAGCCGUCAGUUCGCAGGAGUAGGGGUAGCAGGUUCACCCGACGUCCGACGCAUUCUUCCAUCUCCAAAAAUCUUGUUUUUUUAGUUCAGUUCUUCGUCACAUGUUUCACUAGCUGAAAAUGCAUGGUGUUCUUAAAUUGCUUGCGGACCACUAGUUGUAAUUGCUUGACGAACAGAGCAAAGGUUUGUAUCUUCAUCUACAGUUUUUUCAGAUAUUCGUCGUAUGCACGAGCACGGCUAUAUUUGCUUGUUAUGAUCUAGUGGGCAACAUUAACAUUUUGGUAGUCCUUCUGCAGGGCCCAAACCCACUAUCGUGCAAGAAAAAGAAAGCAAAGCCCCAACCAUCAGCUGCUCAAUCAUCAGGGUCUGAUGGCCCAUGGAGAGGCGAAGCGAAAGACGGUUAGGAAGCGCAAGAGAAUUGGCAAAGACAGCAAGUCCAUCUGUAUUUAAUAGCAAGUCCAUGUACUACUACAUGAGAAGUACUGCUAUUCCCUCACUGGAUUUGCAGGCUCACGACCAUCCUCUAACACCCCGUCAGUGCCACCGAUUUAAAGGAGCUCCGUGAGCGUGUACUUCUCCUGUUCGACCUCGACGCUUGUGGCAGUCCCACAAGGACGAGUAUGGUCUACGAUCGAGCAGUUGGUUCCCAAGCGAGUUCUUGGCUGAAGGUGGGCUUCCACGAUGAGGUGUGGAACGCAAUGUACAUGGAGAUCCUGAUGGAGUACGAUGAUGGCGAUGUGGCGCAGGUGGACCUCAUGGAGUUUGGCUGGGCUGGCGGCGGUCGGCGGUGGACGCGGGUGCAUGAGUUGUGGGGCUCCAUCUGCCGCUCGACCACCACUUACUCCCACUCUGUUCACUGGUUUUGUUUUCAUUGUCACGCCUGUUCCUCGUCGACCUGCAGCAGGAGACACGAGAUCACCCCGGCACUGCUGGUCACAUGAAGGUCGCCAAAAAUGCACGAGAGAGGUUUGGACGGACGCUGAUCACUAGCCCACUAUGACGCCGCCGAUCACUAGCACGAAGGACACCAGCAGGUUGAGGAUGAAGUACAUGACGCAGACAAUGAGGACGACCGAAACAUGGAAUCCGUACACAUAGCACCAACUGCAAAUUCAAAAUUUCUGUCUGAUGAUUUGAUUGCUACUUCUUAAAGAAAGUGUACAUAACAGUUAGAUGUUUCUGCAAGAAAGGAAAAUUUGUAUGAAUCAAAAACAAUGAUCAGUAUGAAUCAAAAACAAUGAUCAGUAUGAAUCAAAAACAAUGAUCAGUUCGAUA